rnacentral:rRNA from 1 species
AGCGAACGCUGGCGGCAGGCCUAACACAUGCAAGUCGAACGAACCUUUCGGGGUUAGUGGCGGACGGGUGAGUAACACGUGGGAACGUGCCUUUAGGUUCGGAAUAACUCAGGGAAACUUGUGCUAAUACCGAAUGUGCCCUUCGGGGGAAAGAUUAAUCGCCUUUAGAGGGGCCCGCGUCUGAUUAGCUAGUUGGUUGAGGUAAUGGCUCACCAAGGCGACGUUCAGUAGCUGGUCUGAGAGGAUGAUCAGCCACAUUGGGACUGAGACACGGCCCAAACUCCUACGCGAGGCAGCAGUGGGGAAUCUUGCGCAAUGGGCGAAAGCAUGACGCAGCCAUGCCGCGUGAAUGAUGAAGGUCUUAGGAUUGUAAAAUUCUUUCACCGGGGACGAUAAUGACGGUACCCGGAGAAGAAGCCCCGGCUAACUUCGUG